CGGGCUGUAGCGCAGGGGCUANNUAGCGCGCUUGGUUCGGGACCAAGAUGUCGGAGGUUCAAAUCCUCUCAGCCCGACAA
rnacentral:tRNA from 1 species